AGCUCCAAUAGCGUAUAUUAAAGUUGUUGCGGUUAAAAAGCUCGUAGUUGGAUUUCUGCCGAGGACGACCGGUCCGCCCUCCGGGUGAGCAUCUGGUUCGGCCUUGACAUCUUCUUGGUGAACGUAGCUGCACUUGACUGUGUGGUGCGGUACCCAGGACUUUUACUUUGAGGAAAUUAGAGUGUUCACGGCAGGCAAACGCCUUGAAUACAUUAGCAUGGAAUAAUAACAUAGGGCCUUGGUUCUAUUUUGUUGGUUUCUAGAGCUGAGGCAAUGAUUAAUAGGGAUAAUUGGGGGCAUUCGUACUAACGCGUCAGAGGUGGAAUUCUUGGAUUGCGUUAUGACGAACUACUGCGAAAGCAUUUGCCAAGGAUGUUUUCA
rnacentral:rRNA from 1 species